ACGGGAGGCAGCAGUGGGGAAUAUUGGUCAAUGGGGGAAACCCUGAACCAGCGACGCCGCGUGAGUGAAGAAGUAUUUCGGUAUGUAAAGCUCUAUCAGCAGGGACGAUAAUGACGGUACCUGACUAAGAAGCCCCGGCUAACUACGUGCCAGCAGCCGCGGUAAUACGUAUGGGGCAAGCGUUAUCCGGAUUUACUGGGUGUAAAGGGAGCGUAGGUGGCCAUGCAAGUCAGAUGUGAAAACCCGGGGCUCAACCCCGUGACUGCAUUUGAAACUGCGUGGCUGGAGUACAGGAGAGGUAAGCGGAAUUCCUAGUGGAGCGGUGAAAUGCGUAGAUAUUAGGAGGAACACCAGUGGCGAAAGCGGCUUACUGGACUGAAACUGACACUGAGGCUCGAAAGCGUGGGGAGCAAACAGGAUUAGAUACCCUGGUA
rnacentral:rRNA from 1 species